rnacentral:misc_RNA from 1 species
AGCAGCCGCGGUAAUUCCAGCUCCAAUAGUGUAUAUUAAAGUUGUUGCAGUUAAAAGCUCGUAGUUGAAUUUCGGGAUCAAUUUAUCGGUCGUGCCAUGGUAUGAACUGGUACAAUUGGUUUCUCCCUUCUGACGAAGCAUGAUGCCAUUAAUUUGGUGUCGUGGGGAAUCAGGACUGUUACUUUGAAAAAUUAGAGUGUUUAAAGCAAGCAUUAGCUUGAAUACAUUAGCAUGGAAUAAUGAAAUAGGACGUUUGAUCCUAUUUCGUUGGUUUCUAGGAUCGACGUAAUGAUUAAUAGGGAUAGUUGGGGGCAUUAGUAUCCAAUUGUCAGAGGUGAAAUUCUUAGGAUUUUAUGAAGACUAACUACUGCGAAAGCAUUUGCCAAGGAUGUUU